rnacentral:RNase_P_RNA from 1 species
GCCGCAGACCGCCUUAUCGUUCUUGUCCCAUUGGGCGAGAGAGGAAAGUCCGGACACCAUAGGGAAGCAUAGCGGGUAACACCCGUCGGUUUAUUUUGAAUUUUUUCAAAAUGGAUUAGGACAAGUGCAACAGAAAGUAUGUACAGGUAAUGCUGUAGUGAAACCAGGUAAACUCUAUGCGGUGAAAUAUCAAGUAUAUCAGCAUUUAAGGGCUUCUCGUCCGUUGUUGAAGGGUAGAUAGCUUGAGUCACACAGUAAUGUGCGAUCUAGAUAAAUGAUAAGGUGACACUGAAUUUAUUUCAGCGUUAACAGAAUCCGGCUUAUAGGUCUGUAUUUUUU